GACGAACGCUGGCGGCGUGCUUAACACAUGCAAGUCGAACGGAAAGGCCCUGCUUUUGUGGGUUGCUCGAGUGGCGAACGGGUGAGUAACACGUGAGUAACCUGCCCUUGACUUUGGGAUAACUUCAGGAAACUGGGGCUAAUACCGGAUAGGAGCUCCUGCUGCAUGUUGGGGGUUGGAAAGUUUCGGCGGUUGGGGAUGGACUCGCGGCUUAUCAGCUUGUUGGUGGGGUAGUGGCUUACCAAGGCUUUGACGGGUAGCCGGCCUGAGAGGGUGACCGGCCACAUUGGGACUGAGAUACGGCCCAGAAGCCUACGGGAGGCAGCAGUGGGGAAUAUUGCACAAUGGGCGGAAGCCUGAUGCAGCAACGCCGCGUGCGGGAUGACGGCCUUCGGGUUGUAAACCGCUUUCGCCUGUGACGAAGCGUGAGUGACGGUAAUGGGUAAAGAAGCACCGGCUAACUACGUG
rnacentral:rRNA from 1 species